GACGAACGCUGGCGGCGUGCUUAACACAUGCAAGUCGAACGGAAAGGCCCUGCUUUUGUGGGGUGCUCGAGUGGCGAACGGGUGAGUAACACGUGAGUAACCUGCCCUUGACUUUGGGAUAACUUCAGGAAACUGGGGCUAAUACCGGAUAGGAGCUCCUGCUGCAUGGUGGGGGUUGGAAAGUUUCGGCGGUUGGGGAUGGACUCGCGGCUUAUCAGCUUGUUGGUGGGGUAGUGGCUUACCAAGGCUUUGACGGGUAGCCGGCCCGAGAGGGUGACCGGCCACAUUGGGACUGAGAUACGGCCCAGACUCCUACGGGAGGCAGCAGUGGGGAAUAUUGCACAAUGGGCGGAAGCCUGAUGCAGCAACGCCGCGUGCGGGAUGACGGUCUUCGGGUUGUAAACCGCUUUCGCCUGUGACGAAGCGUGAGUGACGGUAAUGGGUAAAGAAGCACCGGCUAACUACGUG
rnacentral:rRNA from 1 species